AAACAGUUCCCUGACUCCUCUACUUGAAUGUCUCAAGGAUAUAAAAGCCUGGAUGUCUUCACAUUUAAAUGAAUCUGGACUGGAUCCAGUCAGGUCACUGUGGUCUGCUGAUCAGCUGCAACUGAAUGUGCCCAGGACCAGGUUGAAGGCCAGGGGCGACCGCUCUUUUUCAGCAGUUGCCCCCAAACUGUGGAAUGACUUACCUCCUCACAUUUUAGUGGCGACCCCCUCCAUACCUUUAAAUCUCGUUUAAAAACAUUUGUUGGGAGUCAAGACAGAACAGACCCAAACGCAACGUUCAGAAUUUAAUGGGUUUUAUUAAGGGACAAGGGGCUGAGGGAGAGGAGGUGAAGGAGAGGUGGACGCCGGGGAACGUGGGCAUGGAGGACCAAGGAGCAGGUGCGGCAGAGGAGGCUGAGGCAAGGGAGCCAAUGGGAACAGAGGACCGAGGAGGCCUGGGAGAAGGAGCGUAGUGGCAGGCAGACUGGCGAGGAACGAGGGGGAGCCAGGAGGACGCACGAGGGGAGAGGGCAGGUAGGCGAGCCCAGCUGACCAGACGAAGGUGAGUGAACCUCGGGAAGAGCAGACAGACAGGGUAGGACACAGGCCAAACUGAGAACAGGGAAAUAGAGAUUCUGCAGAAUUCUCUGAGGCUUGAGUGGAGCAGUAGCACCAGGUUUGGCGCAACGACGACUGGCUUUUAAUUCACCAUGAAAGCUGCUGUGGUCUUUGUUGACGCUGUCAUUGUUGAUGUUAUUUGUUUUGUUUAUAAACAGUUUGUUUUCUCUCUGUAAA